UCUCCGUUGGUGAACCAGCGGAGGGAUCAUUACCGAGUUUACAACUCACAAACCCAAUGUGAACCAUACCAAACUGUUGCCUCGGCGGGGUUACGCCCCGGGUGCGUCGCAGCCCCGGAACCAGGCGCCCGCCGGAGGGACCAACCAAACUCUUUCUGUAGUCCCCUCGCGGACGUUAUUUUUACAGCUCUGAGCAAAAACUCAAAAUGAAUCAAAACUUUCAACAACGGAUCUCUUGGUUCUG
rnacentral:misc_RNA from 1 species